rnacentral:tRNA from 1 species
AAUAAAAUGGCCGAGAAUUAGGCAUUAGAUUGUAAAUCUAAUCACGAAUUUAUUAAAUUCUUUUAUUA